UACGGUAAAAUAAUUAUAUUUUAUGAAAUAAGUAACCAUAGAAUACACGAUAAAUUAAUACUCAAAAACCCCAAAUUGUUCAAGUGAUAAUUUCAACCGCAAGUGAAUCUAACUCCAAUAUGAUGGCCAUGGUCUCUACAUCAGGAAUGGGAGUGAAAUAAAAUUAUUGAUAUAGAGAAUGGAAUUACAAUGACCAACGUCCCUCCUCAUCCUUCAUAUAUUAAUUUUAACAUUCAUCUAAAGAGUUUACACGUCAUAUGUUGCAAACUCACUUGCUGUAUAGUAAAAUCAUACUCACAUGUUUAGCUUAACUAUUGUAUAUAUUCUAUGAACUAUAAACCCUGUAAUGCACAUAUAAUGUGCUAGAAGAAAACAAGUCCUUUAUCGAUCAUUGAGCGAAAGAGGCUCAAUUAUCACCGAUAAUACACGUUUCUUUGAUCGUUCAUCUGGAGCACUAUGCCCAUCUCCAUACUGAUAUGUACAAUGGGCUGUGCGAGCAAGGUUAAAUGCUGUUUCAAUAAAAGGUUUUGCAAAUAUAGAGUUCUCAACUCUUUCUUUGUUCAUCUUCUUCCAGAUUUCAUCAAUCAAAUUCCUCAUUUGCUUACUUGCAAGUUCCUCAGAAAGACCAUUGUCAUUCAGGUAGCACACAAUAGAAUUUGCAGUUUCACCUCUUUCUAAUUCGGCCUGCAUUACAUAAAAUUAAUCACUUAAUGUGAUGAAAUGUCAAUUAUAAUAAACCAAUAAAAUAUACCCUUUUCUCCUAAAAUAGAUCAGCAACUAGUGACAUUUUGACUCAUUCUCUCACUACAUUCAUAUUCUAUCUCUUAAGAGCAAAGCAUAUCAGGAUCACUCUCUGACAUGACAGUCACAGGAUUCCAACUGGGACACAUCUCUGGAGCCUCUUGACUUCUCUUUGCCAGGUCCCUUCAACUAAGACAAGAUCGUGGGAUCUUUUAUUAUGAUUCAAAGAUUCUAUUUAGUUAUUUGUCUUUUGUAAUCUGCUGCAGGUGGAAUUUCUGUUUGCUUUGACAUAUAAAUAUUAUCCUGCUGCUUGUUAUAUAUGACAUGCCACUUUCUUAUUCUUUGGGCUGCUGAUAGUUAACUUAGCAUCUAUGAGUCUAGGAGAAGUUCACCAUAGGUUAUGAUACACUACCUCCACUUCAUCAAAAACAGAAACAGAAAAAGAACAGAACGAGGGAGAAGCAAUAACCAUCAACAUUUCAAUUUAGCUCAAAAAGAAAAAUAAGGAAAGCAUAUACUCAUAACAUACCGAUGCAGAAACCAAAUCGUUGCAUAGCCGAAAGAUGGUGGAAGGCCAGCGCAAGAGAUCAUAGUACUUUUCUAAGCCUUCAGCCUCCUGCUCUGUGAUACUGUCACUUAUCAGGCAAUUGGCAUGAACUAAUACAAGGGGCCCUGAUGAAGACAUCCAUGCAUUUUCAAGAUACUCCUCGUAUGAGGGUGUGGACUUUCUGUAAAACCAUUUUGCUUCUUGUAGGAAUGCGUUGCACAUAUCAGCCCAUGCAUUUGUAAGGUAUGGAAGAAUGUUUAUUCCUUUCUCCUUAAGGUUUUCAUAAGCCAUCUCAUUAACAGUAUUAUACAGAGCUAAAAAGCACAGCUUCAGAUAAUCUGGAAGAUUGUUGAUUGCCUUGACAUCCCAUCUUUGAAUAGCAUCUGUAAGCAGUUCCAACUCAUCCAAAGUAGCAUAAACAUCAUACACAUCAUCAAAAAGCGUUACUAAUGCAACCGCUUUUGUUAGACCUUUACGGCAACUGCUGUAUUGUGGUUCAAAAAUCAUUCCUACUGCCCAAAAGAAGGACUCCAUUAAUCUGUCUCUAGCAAAGUUCAGCUUGGUUGCAAGACCCAUGGUCCUCCACCACCUUGACACGUCUCGAAGAUCUUUUUGGAGAUGUGACUGCACCAUGUUGAAAUCCAUUACAGCAAGCUCAAGCAGUGCUCGAUUAGCAUCUUCCCUUUUACUGUAUGCAUCAAUACUCCACAGAGCCUCCAAUCGCUGCGUUCUACGAUGCAAAGGAAGCUCUAAUUCAUGAUUCAACUGUUCUACAAUGUGAUUGCUUUCUUUUUCUUUGAGGCUUUUUAGAUGUAAUCUUGUGAAUGAAUUGGCCUCAUCCAAUAUUGUUUCUCCUUCAAACGCGAGAUAUGAAGCUUCAUACAGACUCAACAUUGCCUUAAUGUCCUCUUUAAGGCACUCCUUGAAAUUCCCAUAUUCAUCCUUGAAUUUCAUAAACACAUCUGGAGAGACCUCAAAACCAUGUUCUCUGAGGAGCCUGAAACUAAGAGCCGUAGCAUGUAGGCUAUCAAUUCUUUCCACAUCAAGUCCUCCCAAAGACACAAAUCUUUCAAGGGCUUUCCUUAUCUCGGACUCGAAACGGUACCCCAAUCCUAGCCUUUGGACGGUAUCAAUCAAGUCAAGAACAGAGAGCAACUCUGCUUUUUCAUUGGUAAUCAUACUUCUCACCUCUUGCUCCAGCCUAGUUGCCUCAUCUUUGUAUGUCUCAACCGAAUGAUCAUUCUUCAAGGACUGCAAAUAGUCAUAACUCCAUAUGUUAGGCUGAAAGUUGGCCGACCUUCUAGACUCCGUUAAACUGGAAUUUUCGUUGGCCACCGAGCAACGUACUUGCAGAGUCAUGGGAGUGCCAUGGAGACGGAGAUGAAAGGCUCUUUGCAAGGGAAAUCUGUAUAGUUUUUGUGUUGAUGAUGAGAAUGGACGUGGCAAGCACAGCAGUUCAGUCGCCAUGAAUAGCCACACCAACAACAGA
rnacentral:misc_RNA from 1 species